rnacentral:rRNA from 1 species
UACGAAGGGGGCUAGCGUUGCUCGGAAUCACUGGGCGUAAAGCGCACGUAGGCGGAUUGCUAAGUCAGGGGUGAAAUCCUGGAGCUCAACUCCAGAACUGCCUUUUGAUACUGGCAAUCUCGAGUCCGGGGAGAGGUGAGUGGAAUUCCUAGUGUAGAGGUGAAAUUCGUAGAUAUUAGGAAGAACACCAGUGGCGAAGGCGGCUCACUGGCCCGGUACUGACGCUGAGGCGGCGAAAAGCGUGGGGGAGCAAACAGGG